rfam:Ailuropoda melanoleuca scaffold2498_8, whole genome shotgun sequence.
AAAAAGGCUCUUUUCAGAGCCACCACUGUCUCCGAGAAAGAGCUG